UACGUAGGGUGCAAGCGUUGUCCGGAAUUAUUGGGCGUAAAGAGCUCGUAGGCGGUUUGUCGCGUCUGCUGUGAAAACUCGGGGCUUAACCCCGGGCCUGCAGUGGGUACGGGCAGACUAGAGUGCGGUAGGGGAGACUGGAAUUCCAGGUGUAGCGGUGAAAUGCGUAGAUAUCUGGAGGAAUACCGGUGGCGAAAGCGGCAUCCUGGACCGGCAUUGACGCUGAUGAGCGAAAGCUAGGGGAGCAAACGGG
rnacentral:rRNA from 1 species